AAAGAUUUCAUUUUACUCAUCCAAAGUGCCACGUUAAAAAAUAACAAAUAAUAAUAAAUAAAGAAUUAAACAAAUAUAUACGUCCUCUGCUUGUUAACCAAUCUUGGCUGGUCAAAUUCACGUUGAUUAAUUUAAACCGGUUGCUAAUGUUGUUUAUAUUGUUCUUUUCUUUUGCAUUUUUGGUGGAAGCCCUUCAGCUAAGACAUGUUUGUCUAUAAACCUCCUCUCUAAUCGUAUGUACCACAAAAAGAGUAACUGAUUCAUGACUAUUUUUUCAGUCUUUGUUACUCACCUUUCUUGCCUCAUAACUCUUCUCAACACAUUGACACAAUCAUGUUCUAGGACAAAGAUUUCAUAAUUUCUUUGUCCAGUGUGGUUUUCAAGAACACCCGAGAUGUCAAUAUUGGUGGCUCUGUUUCUGCUUCUUGGGGUUGUUCCAUUAGCUUUUGCUGGGCAUGACUAUGGCCAAGCUCUUAGCAAGAGCAUUCUCUUCUUUGAAGCUCGUAGAUCUGGUUACCUUCCCAUUAUCCAGAGAGUCCAAUGGAGAGGUCAUUUUGGUCUCAAAGAUGGCAAUACUAGCGAGGCUGUACGUAGAGACAUAUGAUACUUGGAGGAGGAUAACAAGGAUGAUCCUUCCAGUCUCCUUUUUUUUAUUUUAUUUAUUUAUUUAAGAUUUAAUACAAAUCCUUAGGAUCUGAGACAUUAAAAAUUUAUUAUUAUUAUCAUUGUUAUUAUUAUUUGUUGUGGAUUGGGUUUAUUUGGUUAGUAAAAUGGGUUUAUGAAUGGAUUCACCUUGAUUAUAAAAAUUUAAUUUAAUUUUUUAAAAAAUUAAAUCAUUUAAAUACAUUGUUA